rnacentral:rRNA from 1 species
AUGGCAUCCCUAACGGUGCUCAUCUCAUGGUCCAUUUGGAAUGACAGGAACGCGAGGGUAUUUACAAACAAAGGCGCACCACAGUUGAUCCUUCUCGACAACAUUAAGAAGGAUGCCUCGCUUUGGGUGGCCGCGAGCGCCAACAAGCUAGGGACAAUCAUGCCGGUAGAGUAA